rnacentral:rRNA from 1 species
GUCUACGGCCAUGCUACCCUGAACAAGCCCGAUCCCGGCUGAUCUCAGAAGCUAAGCAGAGUCGGGCCUGGUUAGUACUUGGAUGGGAGACUACCUAGGAAGACCAGGUGCUGUAGGCG